GAUCUCAUGCGUGCUUCUUGCAGCUGUUUUUCUGAAUCAACGUUGUCAACGUCUGUAGCCAUUAUCAGCCGCGCCUUUGUGUAAAAUAGAUUUUUCAUCUCGGAGGAGAAAAAGAGGAAAAGUGUAUCCCUCUCACAGUAAAUAUUUCUCCUGCAACACAACUUUUUGGGUGGUUCUCUGGAAGCUUCCAGAAGUGUAUGUCCCUGCUCAUUCCAGUGCGGUGAGCUCACCCAGUCUUGGGGUCCAAGCUGUCCCAGGAUGCAGCUGUCAUUCAUGUCACUCAGACUAUCUUCCGCUAACUCAGCUAGAAAAUGUAACUGGUAGUUGUAUGUGUGGAAAAAUGUGUGUGUGUGUGUGUGUGUAAAAGAGAGAGAGAGUAUGUGUGUAUGUGAUUCCAUGUGUGUUUGUGUGUUAUGCAUGUAAGUGUGCUGAGAGUGUGUAGUGCUGCUAUCUCAAGCAUCUCUUGUGAUCCUCUGCCUUACCCCAGGGCUGAAGUUUCAAAGGUCAACAGUCACAGACCUCACCGGUUCAGUCAAGGGCUGAGGGUUCAAAGGUCACCAGUCACAGACCUCACUGGUCCAACUGUAGCUGAAGUGAACAAACUGGAGGGGGACGCAAACUCAGGCUUUCCCACGGAGUCGCACACACUCCUUGAGCUGCUCAGAUGAACUCGGUCAUGUUUUCCUUGGAAACAUGCUACAAACAGGACACACGCAACAGAACACACACACACUGACAGCGGUAAGGAAUUGCACACAUGAGAAACCUGUAAACCUCUGAGUGCUUUAUCGCUGAAGGCCAAGCGAUGCUGUUUACUUUCACAGGGUUGGAUAAGGUCAGACUGAGUCAUCUGCCCAUCGCUCCGUGUGUACAGCGUUUCCUGAUCAUUUGCAAUGGCAAUGUGUUCCCUUGGCUCAACUGGUAGAUCCACUGAUAUAGCAAGAUGCUAACAACACUAAGGUCACGGGUUUGAUUCCUAGGGAGUUCCCAGAGGCUACCAAUGCAUCUCUGGACAAUUAGUCGGUUUGGAUAAACGCUCCAAAAAAUGUAAUGUUUUACUGGUUUAUAUUUACAUCAGAGCCUUUGCAACCAGUUUCAAAGCAGGGAUGGAGAGUCCAUAUUUGGGCAU
ensembl:lncRNA